CGAUCUUAGUGGCGGACGGGUGGAGUAACGACGUGGGUAACCGUGCCUUAUACAGGGGAGUAACACUUAGAAAUAGGUGCUAAUACCGCAUAAGCGCACGGGGCUGCAUGGCCCAGUGUGAAAAACUCCGGUGGUAUAAGAUGGACCCGCGUCUGAUUAGCUUGUUGGCGGGGUAACGGCCCACCAAGGCGACGAUCAGUAGCCGGCCUGAGAGGGUGGACGGCCACAUUGGGACUGAGACACGGCCCAAACUCCUACGGAAGGCAGCAG
rnacentral:rRNA from 1 species